rnacentral:rRNA from 1 species
GAUGAACGCUGGCGGCGUGCCUAAUACAUGCAAGUCGAGCGAACGGACGAGAAGCUUGCUUCUCUGAUGUUAGCGGCGGACGGGUGAGUAACACGUGGAUAACCUACCUAUACGACUGGGAUACCUUCGGGAAACCGGAGCUAAUACCGGAUGAUAUUUUGAACCGCAUGGUUCAAACGUCAAAGACGGUCUUGCUGUCACUUAUAGAUCGAUCCGCGCUGCAUUAGCUAGUUGGUAAGGUAACGGCUUACCAAGGCAACGAUGCAUAGCCGACCUGAGAGGGUGAUCCGUGACUCUGGAACUGAGACACCGUCCAGAACACUAGCGGGGGCAGCAGUAGGGAUUCUUCCUCAAUGGGCGAAAGCGUGACGGAUCAACGCCGCGUGAGUGAUGAAGGUCUUCGGACCGUAAAACUCUGUUAUUAGGGUAGACCAUAUGUGUAAGUAACAGUGCACAUCUUGACGGUACCUAAUCAGAAAGGUACGGCUAUUUACGUG